UCCGAUGUAUGGUACUCAAACCAUAACAUCACUCCUCAAUCCGCUCCGAUGUUAUGGUUCGAGAUGUAAGGUACUCGAACCAUAACAUCGCUCCUCAAUCCGCUCUGAUGUAUGGUACUCGAACCAUAACGUCACCCCUUAAUCCGCUCCUUAGAACCUCCAGAAUACUCCCUGUAUCAAGUAUGGGUCCUCUGCUUUCAGUAGUACGGGCCCAUAGUACCUGCCACAUCUACCCAUACUUUCCACACGGACUAUCCCGGAGCUCCUAAGAAGCUGCUCGACCUACUCUUUCACCAAUCCCAUCACGCGUGCUCGCUCCCCAGCGAAAUUCUCUACUCUGCCAGCACACUCAUCUGGCUAAGAUUACUCCCUAG
rnacentral:lncRNA from 1 species